ensembl:lncRNA
UGUAUUGGUUAAAAUGCAUUGGUUAAAACUAAUACAUAUUGACUUAUCAUUGUCAUGACUUUUUCUUUUUGUUGGAUUCUCCCCCUUUGCUUUAAUUUCUUGUCAUGCUGGAUGGAUUCAUUCUGCUAGGCUUCCUGGGGUUGUGAUCCUUGUUGUCUUUUCCUAGGAUAUUGUCUAAAAUAUUUUGGAGUGCUGGUUUGGUAUUCAUGAAGUUCCUAAGGUGCUCUUUGUCAUGCAAGUAUCUUAUUUCUCCAUCAGUUUUGAAAGAUAGUUUUGCUGGGUACAUCAAUCUGGAUUGGAGAUUGUUUUCCUUUAGGGCUUGAAUUACAUCAUUCCAAGCUCUUCUUGCCUUGAGGGUUUGUAUUGAGAAGUCUGCUGUGAUUCUGAUGGGCUUUCCUUUGUAAGUGAUUUGUUUCUUUUCUCUAACUGCUUGUAAAAUUUUGUUCUUCUCUUGGGUUUCUGGAAUCCUAACAAUUAUAUGCCUAUGUGUAGAUUUUUUUGAUCAAGGCUAGUUGGAGUCCUAUAUGCUUCACUUAUCUGUAUGUCAAGUUCUUUUCCCCUGCUUGAGAAGUUUUCUACCAUCACUUUUGUGAAGAGUUUUUUAAUGUUAUCUGCACUCUUUCCUGUUUCUUGCCUCCAAUCAGUCUUAUGUUAUUCUUCUUUACAUGGUCUAGCAGCUGCUGGAUUGAUUUCUCAUGGUCCCUUACAAUUUUAAAGCAAUUUUUCUUUUCCUGGUCACUAAUUGCAAUCUUAUCUUCUAUAUCUGAAAUUCUGUCCUCACAUUGGCUCAUUCUGCUGUGUAGACUUUCAAUGGAGUUUUUAAUCUCCUGGUAAUCUGUUUACAUCUGUUUUAUGGAUUCCAUUUGUUUCCUAUGUUGGGAUUCCAUCAUGUUCCUCAGUUCCUCUAUUCUUUUAUCUAUGUUCUCCUAGAUGUAUUAGUCAUGUCUUGCACUAUGGGCACAAUCUCUGCUGUUAUCUGAGAAAGUAUUUCUGAUUUCAUUUUUUCCAAAUCCUCUUUUUUUGCCGGUUCAGGGUGUCCAAGUGGUUGAGUAUCGAUUGGAUUGUUCCAUCUUGUUUCCCAUUGGGGUUUCUGUAGGUGAUCUGGGAGUCUGGUUUUGAGAUUUGUUUGUGUGUAUUCUCAUCUCAAGGGUAGGGGAGAGUUGUGUGCUGCUGGCACCCAUGCGGCUCACCUCCUCAGUGCUAGAGGAGGCUCUGCUCCUCGGUGCUGGAGGCAGAGGUAUGGCAGCCUGGAAGGCUCUCUAGAUAUUUUUCCUUUGGUUAAUUAUCAAGUGUUUGCUAUGUAAUAAUCAAUGAGUAGCUAAUUGGAAGCAAGAGAGAAUGAAAUGAGUAUUACUGAGAUAGUGUUUUAAUGAAAAGCAUAAAUGUAAUUCUGUGGGGAAAUAUCAGAAGAGAUUUUAUCUUUUAGUAGGGGGGAUGUGUUUACAAAAAGAUUCAUUUAAGACACUGGUAAACUGGAUCCAGGACACGAAUCCUUUCACUUCCUCGACUCCUUCUGAGGUGUGACUCGCAGAUACCAGGAGGGUUGCCAAGCCCUGAGAGAUGGCCCAGAAACCCAAACCACCCUAAAUGGAGCCGGAAGGUCUGUCAAUUCCUAGAGAGUGAGGAAAUGCUACAAUGUUCUCCAGGCCAACAGUAACAAUGGCAGCUUCCUGGGUCUCACUUUCCUGAUUGUGGCAGAGGUGGCAGCUCCUCUGGCAGAUUGGUUCUGCCACAUUCUGGGAUUCACCCAGAGCACUCUCUCCCAGCCCUUCCAAAAGUUCCUAAUUCAUCAUAUAAAAUUCCUUUGGAAGGAGGGGAAGUAAAAAGAAUGAAGAUGUGUUAUGUACCUGUACCAACUCCUAUGAUGAGUACAAUCAUUAGGUAGUACAGACAUGUACUGUACUAAUAAAAAUUUUUAAAACAUCUUUUAAUUCCUUUUUGCUUGUAAACCCUAGAGUGGUUUCCGUUUCCUACACUGACUCCUGCAGCUGAUUCCCAGAUGAUUCCCAAAUUUCUGUUCCUUUUCAGCCUUUUUAAAGUUUUUUUUUCACUUAUCCACUUUCCUGUAAGGACACAGCUGC